GGGGGUAUAGCUCAGUGGUAGAGCAUGUGCUUGGCAUGCACAAGGUCUUGGGUUUAAUCCCCAGUGCCUCAU
rnacentral:tRNA from 1 species